UAGUUGGUGGAGUGAUUUGUCUGGUUAAUUCCGAUAACGAACGAGACCUUAACCUGCUAAAUAGUAACGGGGAAUUUUUUCUUCGUGUACUUCUUAGAGGGACUUUGCAUGUCUAAUGCAAGGAGGUUUGAGGCAAUAACAGGU
rnacentral:rRNA from 1 species